rnacentral:rRNA from 1 species
GUGCCAGCAGCCGCGGUAAUACGUAGGGUGCAAGCGUUGUCCGGAAUUAUUGGGCGUAAAGAGCUCGUAGGCGGUUUGUCGCGUCUGCUGUGAAAACCCGAGGCUCAACCUCGGGCCUGCAGUGGGUACGGGCAGACUAGAGUGCAGUAGGGGAGAUUGGAAUUCCUGGUGUAGCGGUGGAAUGCGCAGAUAUCAGGAGGAACACCAAUGGCGAAGGCAGAUCUCUGGGCUGUAACUGACGCUGAGGAGCGAAAGCAUGGGGAGCGAACAGGAUUAGAUACCCUGGUAGUCCAUGCCGUAAACGUUGGGCGCUAGAUGUGGGGACCUUUCCACGGUUUCCGUGUCGUAGCUAACGCAUUAAGCGCCCCGCCUGGGGAGUACGGCCGCAAGGCUAAAACUCAAAGGAAUUGACGGGGGCCCGCACAAGCGGCGGAGCAUGUGGAUUAAUUCGAUGCAACGCGAAGAACCUUACCUGGGCUUGACAUACACCGGAUCGCUGCAGAGAUGUAGUUUCCCUUGUGGCUGGUGUACAGGUGGUGCAUGGUUGUCGUCAGCUCGUGUCGUGAGAUGUUGGGUUAAGUCCCGCAACGAGCGCAACCCUUGUCUUGUGUUGCCAGCACGUUAUGGUGGGGACUCGCGAGAGACUGCCGGGGUUAACUCGGAGGAAGGUGGGGAUGACGUCAAAUCAUCAUGCCCCUUAUGUCCAGGGCUUCACACAUGCUACAAUGGUCGGUACAGUGGGUUGCGAUACCGUGAGGUGGAGCUAUUCCCUUAAAGCCGGUCUCAGUUCGGAUUGGAGUCUGCAACUCGACUCCAUGAAGUCGGAGUCGCUAGUAAUCGCAGAUCAGCAACGCUGCGGUGAAUACGUUCCCGGGCCUUGUACACACCGCCCGUCACGUCAUGAAAGUUGGUAACACCCGAAGCCAGUGGCCCAAACUUGUUAGGGAGCUGUCGAAGGUGGGAUUGGCGAUUGGGACGAAGUCGUAACAAGGUA